ACUCUGGAACCGCCUCAAGGACCGAGGACGUCCUCAAAGACCUUCUGGGGUCCGUCGGAGGAGGAACUGGACACCACCCAAAGACCUCCGACGCUCCCAAAAUGACUACUGGCAGUUACUCGAUGUGGCCUACCAGUGGAACCUCCUGGAGGACUGUAGAAGACCUUUAGAACUCUGACAAGAACAAAUUGUCUAGUUAAAGAGCAAUACAACCAUCCAAGGACCCCUUAGAAUUUCCUAUUGGACCUCAAGAACCCGAUAGAAUUCAAUUCUUGGACCAUUCAGGUGUCCUAAGAACUUCCAGGAGACCUUCGUUGACUUUGUGAGCCUCCCCCCCCCCUGUUAAAAAACAUGCUGAAUGCGUCGCCGAUGUGGUGACAAAGGGUCUUUUACCUGAGGCCUGAACCUCGGUGAUGUACUGCUGAAGGUCGUGACCCUGCUGGAUGACCUCAUAGAUCAUGUUGUUCAUGGCCAGCCUUCGCUCCAUGUGCCUGCAGAUCAAUAAUCUCCAUCAGUGCCUCGCAGUGGACCCUUUUUUAACGUUCUGUUACUUUACUUGGUUACCUGUGGAUGCGCUGCUGCGCUAGCGUUAGCAUGUCGGCGCUAGCUUCCGCUAGCCGCGCCUGGCCCAGCACUAGCUUGUCCUGGUUAGCGUCAGCGAGCCGCGAUGACGCUAGCCUCUCUGCGGAGAAGUCCUGGGACUGUUUGUGAAGGUCCUGCUUCCAGGCGUCCAUUUCCCCCGUUACCUAGGAAACGGUGACACACGUCAGGUGGGGGGCACCCUGACGUAUUGAUGGUCAAUAAACCUCGUACCUCCAGGGUGCACUGCUGCAGGAUGCGGAGCUGCAGGUAAACGUCCAGUCGGAUCUUCCUCUGGUGGAAGAGUUCUUCCAGCUGAACGUGGGACUCCUCCAGCUGCUGAAGCACUGUCUCCACAUGGACCAACGAGCUGCCCUGAGGCCUGAAACAAACGCACCUCAAAGGGUUAUAGAUAUCCGGCCACUUGGACAGAGGCCAUUUGAUGAAGAAAACAAUCACCCCUCAAAUCAAAAUGCUGAAAGCGAAAUGCUAGAAAUUAAUUUGAAAGAUUUUUUUAGUAGUAAUAUUAGUAGUUAGUAGUAGUAGUAGUUAGUAUUAGUGAUAAUUGUAAUUGUAGUAGGGUUAGUAGAGGGCUCGAGGGGGUGUUGGUCUUCUGUGACGGGGGUUUAGAACAUGGUUGGGGGAUAUGGGGAGCUGCUCAAAGCGAUUUUAGUUAAGUUAGGGAGCAUUCCAACAAUGAGUGGGUGCGUGUGUUUUACCACUAAGCAAUGUAAUCAUUGUUGGAAUGCUCCCUAACUUAACUUGUUUGAGGUGUGGAUUCUGUGUAAAUUUACAAACAAAUAAAACAAGCACACCCACAAAGGAUAUGAAAUUACCAACAAAAGUGAAAAUCAAACCCACCCAAACUACAAGAAAAAGCCGACUCACAAUACGCAAACACCAAAACAAACACACCCUUCAGAUAACUACAAAACAAAAGCUCCAAAAUUGCAAAAUAGAAACGCCCCCCGGACUACAAAACAAACAUACCCAUUUUCUCCACAGUAAAUCAUAAAUCAAACAUACGCAAACUAAAAUAAAAGCACCCAACAGAAAAAUACUACAUAAAUGCUUGCAAAAUACAAAAUAAAACCAUGAACCCACGACUACAAAACCAACAGUGUCCACAGAUUCACCAGCGCCAAACUGACGCAAGCGAAUUAAACGCACCCACACUCUGCGCGUACCUGAGUUGCAGGAUGAGGUCUUCUCCUUCCCUGAUGACACUCAUUGCAGCUUCCUGCGGGUCAGGGUUAGAGUCGGGGUUAGUGUGAGGGUUAGCGCCGUGGGGUCAGAGGCAACAGGGGUGUUAGGGUGUUACGACAGGGUCGAAGGUCAGCGGGCUCACCUGCGUAUUCGCCUGCUGCUGCUGCUGCUGGCUGAUCAAAGCCUGAAGAGCUUCAACGGUGUCGGGACAAACACAGAGGUCAGAGGAGAGCUGCUUCUGGAGGCCCUCCAUCCACACUGAGAGCUGGGGGGGGCAUACCAAGGCUCAAUGAACACAGUCUGUGAAUCCAUGCACUUAUUUUGACAAAUGCCUUUCAGAUGUCAGAGCAGGAGGAGGAAGAGGAGUCAGGAUAGAUGAGGAGGUGGAGGAGGAAACAAAAGCGAGGUAGGAGGUGCCGAGGAGUUGAGGUGGAGGCGGGACAUAGAAGGUGUACUACCUCCUUGGUGUGUGUGUAGAAAGACACAGCGAGGUCCAGCAGCAGCUUCCUCUGUUCAACUCUCUGAAUGAACGCCUGCACACACACACACACACACAAUGAGAACACUUCCUGUAGCUGUCCUUCAGAAUAAAAGCCCCCCUGGUAUUUGUUCACCUGCAUGCGGAGCUCCAGGUCUCUGGCCGCCUGGUAGAUCUCUUCCUCCUUACACUCUCCAGACUGAGCCAGCUGAUCGGCUGCUUCCAGAAGCUUCUCUGCAUUAGUGUAGGUGUUCUGUGACACACACACAUCAGUUCGUGCAGGUCUGGGUAGCGUUCAGGUAGUCCGGUCUAGGUGGGGUUCAGGUAGUCCAGGUCUGGGUAGCGUUCAGGUAGUCCGGUCUAGGUGGGGUUCAGGUAGUCCAGGUCUAGGUAGGGUUCAGGUAGUCCAGGUCUGGGUAGCGUUCAGGUAGUCCAGGUCUAGGUAUCAUUCAGGUAGUCCAGGUCUAGGUGGUGUGUAGGUAGUCCAGGUCUGGGUAGCAUCCAGGUAGUCCGGGUCUAGGUAGGGUUCAGGUAGUCCGGGUCUAGGUAGGGUUCAGGUAGUCCAGGUCUAGGUAGCGUCCGGUAGUACAGGUCUAGGUUGGGUUCAGGUAGUCCAGGUCUAGGUGGUGUUCAGGUAGUCCAGGUCUAGGUGGGGUUCAGGUAGUCCAGGUCUAGGUGGUGUUCAGGUAGUCCAGGUCUAGGUGGGGUUCAGGUAGUCCAGGUCUAGGUGGGGUUCAGGUAGUCCAGGUCUAGGUGGGGUUCAGGUAGUCCAGGUCUAGGUGGGGUUCAGGUAGUCCGGGGCUAGUUAGUCCACGUCUAGUUGGGGUUUACCUGUGCAACCUGCUGGAAGUCGUCAUGGCGUUUCUGCAGCGCUCGUGCCCGGUGAAGAGACUUCCCCACGCCACUGUGUUUGUUCAGGAAAACCUCCCCGUGCUGCUCCACCCAGUCCAACACCUGAGACCGGUGGAGAAAGAGAGAGACAGGUGGGGCAACUGGCCUCUGAAUACAAGGUGUAGAGUCUGGAUAUGGAUCCGUCGUACCUGUCUGACAUCUUGCUGAAAAACACACAGUUGCAGGCGCUGAUGGAGGCGGAGUUUACGGUGCUGCCACACCCCCUCCACCUCUUGGUGACCCUGCAGAUGACAAAAAGCUCACGUGAGUCCACCUGCCUGUCUGCUGGUCACAUGUGAGACACAUCACCACGAGCCGUACCUGCAUGACCUGGUGCAGAGCUCCCAUGAUGCCGUGCGUGGCGUUGGCGAGAUCCGGCCUGGUUGUGGGGUUGUCGGAGUCGGUUGCUGGGCAACGCUGGAGUACGUCCAUUAAGGCCUUACCGCUCUCACUAACCUGCACGCAAAGAAAGAGACAGGUGUUCAGACAGACAUCAGACAUACAGGUAUGCAGACAGACAGGUGUUGAUAGAGACAGGUACCUGUGUGUAGUUAGCAGAGAUCUCCUCGUUCAGCUCCUGAUGUUUCUUCGUCGCGGCCUCCAGCUCUGUUGCCGCCGAGGGCAACGCCCCCUCAGAGCACACCUGGACCCAGCCCUCCAAUCUGAGCAGGAACUGGACAGAGAGGCAGACGGGUGAGUGGGGAUACCCAGGCGGGUCGUGGCAUGACAGACAGGUAUAAAGGUUAGAGGUGAGACAGGUAGACACGGGCAUGAGACAGGUGCCUCGCUGUUGCGUAAUAACCUGCUCGGCCCCCUGGUGGAAGCUAGUUGCCAUGGCGAGCGUGUUGCUGCGCUCUUCCAGCGCCGCCGUCAGCGCCCUCCAGUCGCCCUGCAGGCGCAGCGACACUCCGGCGAUGCGCUCCGCCCCGUGGUGGCCCGCCUCCGCCAGUCUGGUUGCCACGGUGACCACGCUGUCCACGUUCAUGCUGCCGUUCUGGGGGGUCACACGAGUGCUGUUAGGCAGGCGUCACGGCAACGGCGACAAACAAGCAAAUAAACAAGCAACUCACCAUGCAGUUGGCCGUGAAGUGCUGGUGCUGCGUCUGGAGGUCCAGGGCAUGCUGGUGGUUCUGACCCACCGCAGAUAGGGUCUGCAGGAACAGGUCCUGACUGUGAGCGAUCCAGUCCGACAUCUGGGGGAGGGGAGGGAGAACUUUAUCACAAGUACCAGUACUUUAUCACAAGUACUUUUCACAGGUACCAGUAAGUAAGAUAGACGGGUAUGUGGACGGACAGACAGGCAGAUAUACAGAUGGACACACAGACUGCCGGGUUUGUGGGCAGACAGUUUGUGUCCCUAGAGCAGCAGGUUCCUAAAUGACUCCAGGUGACCCCUGACCCUGAAUCCCACCUUGGUGGCGUCCUGCUCAAACAGGUGCAGCUGCAGCACCUGGUCCAGGUGCAGCUUCCUGUCGCUCCAGCUCUGCAGCAGGUGUCCGCGGGCCCCCUGCAGCCUGUCCAGCAGGGACGACACCUUUGGCGCCACGCUGUGGAAGUCGGCUCCACCCGACAGCCAGCUGCCGUUACUAGCGCCGGCGCCUCCUUCGGUGGAGGCGUCGCCGUGGGAGGGGCCUAGGCGCAUGCGCUGAAGCAAGCUCCUCCCCUCUCUCUCGAGGGAGUCAACCGGUGCCGUUGCGAUGGUGUUACGUAGCCGGCUGUGUUCCUCCAGAAGUCUGGAGACGGAAAGUUAUUAUAUUAUUAUUAUUAAUAAUGAAUAAAUACUCUCUUAAGUUACCACACUAACUCACUUGCGGGCCUCGUCCACGUCCUGUGGCUCCGGUAUGCGGUUCAGCCCGGCCUCCAGCUGCUCCAGCUGACUCAGCAGCUGUGUGGCGGCGCCGGUGAACUCCUCCAGGCCCAGACGGAGCUCGGUCCACUCCACGUGGUCGUACUCCAACGAGCCGCCGAGGUCAGAGGUCAGUUGGGAGGGGUCAACGAGCCGGGACAGACCCUCCACCGACACCAGGCUGGUCUGGACAUGGGUUUGUUAGCAUUAGCAGUACUUCAGUUAGCAUCAGUAGUAAUUUAGUUAGCAUUACUUCAGUUAACAUCAAUAGUAAUUUAGUUAGCAUUAGCAGUACUUCAGUUAGCAUCAGUAGUAAUUUAGUUAGCAUUACUUCAGUUAACAUCAAUAGUAAUUUAGUUAGCAUUAGCAGUACUUCAGUUAGCAUCAGUAGUAAUUUAGUUAGCAUUACUUCAGUUAGCAUCAGUAGUAAUUUAGUUAGCAUUACUUCAGUUAGCAUCAGUAGUAAUUUAGUUAGCAUUACUUCAGUUAGCAUCAGUAGUAAUUUAGUUAGCAGUACUUCAGUUAGCAUCCAUACUGCUGCUAAUUUCGUUAGCAGCAGUAUGGAUUCCAGCAACUAGUCUAGUGAACAAUGUGCUAGCGGCAGUACUACAGCGGUUAUUACCACGGUACUACUCAUAGGGAGUAGUACCUCGAAGCUGAGCUUGGCGCUGCCCAGGUUGGUCUUGUGUUUCUGCCAGAAUGUGUCGGGUUUGAUGAGAAGCGCCGUGUGGAUGUUGGAGGAAAAGGACUCCUGCAGCGUGCGUAGAACCGGCUUCACGCUGUCCCACUUGCUGCCGCGCAUGUCCACCACCACCGUGAAGCCACGAGCGCACACGUCCUCACUGAUGGACAAACAGGCAGAUGGGCGCGGGGGGGUUGAGCGAGACAGGCCGAGCGAGAUACAGGUGCAGAGGUCAUGAGGUGGACAGAGAUGGAGGGCGUUACCAGGGUAUGGUUGCCAGGUAGGUGACCAACUGGCUUAGGUCUUCCUGUUUUAUUCGAUCAUGAUUGGUCCUGGCAGGGAAGGUCAGUAUUGGUCCGCCACGUUUGUCCCGCCCACCUGAGAGAACACAGUCAGUCAAACUGGGCCGCAUCGGGACUGAACUGGGUUAAAUGCGCAGGUGUGUUUGUUUUACCCGACACGAAGGCCACUUUCUCUCUGAGCACCGUCAGCACGUCGACCGCUCGGACGCACUCCGCUUUACCACAACCUCGGGGGUAGAAACACACAUCUGUCAGCUUCAUGGACACGCCCACACCGAUCGCUUCUGACAGACGAGGCAGCGAUGUUGUUCCGUAUUAUUAUUGCGGGCGAACUGCCCGAGCGGGUGGGGGGGGGGGGGAUUUACUUGGAUUAAAAAGUUGAGUGAAAAGUAGCCUGUGAGCCUAAAAAGUGUGGGGAUCCCUGCGUUCGACCUUUGCCACCACGGCCUUCCUCCAGCCCCCCCCGGCCUGGCCCACUUGAGAUCAACCUAAAGAUGAGUUUGACUCCCCUGAUUUAGAUCAAGAGUUUAACGGAGCCGACCAGCACGGUGUGUGUGUCCGUGUGUGUGUCCGUGUGUGUGUGCAGACGGGCCUCCCAUGUGAGUCAGCUCGUCCAGCGCGCACUGAGGGCAUCAAGCCGCUCACAGCGCCGGUGACACUCGGAGGAAGGGGGGAGCCUAAAAACACGAAGGAGAUGAAGAAGAACGCUCCCUAGCUCCUAGCCGAGUCCUCUUUCCUUGGGUCCUCCCUUCGGACCGACCAGUCUCCUCGGACCCCAAACUGACUGUUUGAUGUAGACCACCCAAUUAAAAGCACGCUGUUAACACAAAGCUUCACGUAGAGCUGUAGGGGAACAGAACCACCACAAACCUACUGAAUGACAAUAAUAGAGGCGUGUUUUAUUCUACUACAAAGCUUUUACACAGCAUUUAUAACCACAUGUGUAGUAUUUAUCAUUGUACUUUGUCUUUCAAAACAGUACAAGUGCUUUGGUUUCUUCACAAUAAAAGCCCUUCAAUAGUUUAGUCCUUAAAAUAUUUGUAAAUUUCUUAAAUGGGGAUUGAUGUCUCGAAAUGAAAGUCCUUCCUACCUCCUGGCCGUCGACCUCCUGAUAAAACUUAAACGUGACACUGACUGAUCACGGAUCAGCUGUCAAUCAGGACGAUCAGCUGGCAGAUACAGAAAGGAUUUCCAUUGUGAUGAAGCAGUCUGACACACACACACACACACACACUGAUACAGUGAGGAGACUAGAAUAGCUGCAGAUGAAAAGCCUCCAGAGAAGUCGCUGUCAGUCUGUCAGGACUCAUCACACCAAUUACGUAACCAAAACUAAUAAAGAUGUUCAGCCACGAUGUCCUCUCCGAAAUCAGAGCUGGACUUUGGUGCUGUUUUAUAUCGUAAUGUGAAUAAACGUUUCCAAAUGUACAAAUGCGUCCGAUACCAACCUGCUGCUUUACUGUCAGAGCUAACAGAUGAAUAAAAUAAUAUAAAAUCAUGCGUUACUGAUCCACUAACUGAUUUACUACACGUUCCACCAGUAACAUCCCAUCAACGGGGUUGCCACGGUUACCGUACCUUUCAAUUAAACCCCCUCUGAUAUGAUUUUAAUUGAAGCCUGUCGUCCAAUCAGAGGGCAGCAUUUCUUUCACAAUCGCGGUGUAUUAACACCGCUGAUACUUCAAUUGGAGGGAAUGUAAAGCUUCCAUGUGAGUACACAUGACGUCACACACACGGAUAACCAAGCAGGCCUUCCCACAAUCCUCCUUGGUAGGACCCCCAACCACACACAAAUACACACACACAUUCUCUGAGUGAAUGGGCGCGGGUGGAGGCAUCAUGGCGACAGCAGCUCCUACUACACACACACACACACACACACACACACACACACACACACACACACACACACACACACACACCCUACCUGCCGUCGCCAGGCCGUCCGGGCCCGCUUCCCCUCCAUCUACCGAAUUCAUCCUCCCUCCUCCUCCGUUAUGCGGCGUCGCUCCCCGUGCGGACCUGCGGGUUCACAUCAGACCGGAUCGGUGCAGGCUACCGGAUGUGUUCCGCUCCUCCGGUACCGAUGAGACCGUCACUGCCGCCUCCGCCUCCUGCUCCGCUCUUCUUACGUUCCCGUGAUCCCGUGCAGCAUCACGUCCCGUCACCGUGAGCUUCCCGGUGUGUGUCUCUCGCUCUCUCGGACCGGGCAGCGGACGGUCGGUGUAUCGGUGUGUGCGCGCGCGGGCGCGUGUGUGUGUAGCGCGCAGGCGCACCGGAGAGCGAGGGGCGCUGUGCGCG
ensembl:lncRNA